UCGGAACGUGUCCUGUAGUGGGGGAUAGCCCGGCGAAAGCCGGAUUAAUACCGCAUACGCUCUACGGAGGAAAGGGGGGGAUCUUAGGACCUCCCGCUACAGGGGCGGCCGAUGGCAGAUUAGCUAGUUGGUGGGGUAAAGGCCUACCAAGGCGACGAUCUGUAGCUGGUCUGAGAGGACGACCAGCCACACUGGGACUGAGACACGGCCCAGACUCCUACGGGAGGCAGCAGUGGGGAAUUUUGGACAAUGGGGGCAACCCUGAUCCAGCAAUGCCGCGUGUGUGAAGAAGGCCUUCGGGUUGUAAAGCACUUUUGUCCGGAAAGAAAACGCCGUGGUUAAUACCCGUGGCGGAUGACGGUACCGGAAGAAUAAGCACCGGCUAACUACGUGCCAGCAGC
rnacentral:rRNA from 1 species